AUGGUGGGCCAGAACAGCGCCAUCGCCACCGGAGUGUGCGGGGCCCUUUUCAUCGGUUACUGCGUUUACUUCGUUUACUUCGACCGCAAGAGACGGAGUGACCCCAACUUCAAGAACAGGCUGCGAAAACGAAGAAAGAAACAAGUUUGCCAAGGAGAGAGCUGGGCUUUCCAAGUUACCUGACCUUAAAGAUGCUGAAGCCGUUCAGAAAUUCCUUCUAGAAGAAAUACAGCUCGGUGAAAAAUUACUAGCUCAAGGUGAAUAUGAGAAGGGUGUAGACCAUCUGACAAAUGCGAUUGCUGUGUGUGGACAGCCACAGCAGUUACUGCAACUGUUGCAACAAACUCUUCCACCACCAGCGUUCCAGAUGCUUCUGACUAAGUUCCCAGCAAUUAGUCAGAGAACUGUAAGUGCUCAGAGCUUGGCUGAAGAUGAUGUGGAAUGA
rnacentral:lncRNA from 1 species